rnacentral:sRNA from 1 species
GAGCCGAAAAGUGAGGCAUCCUCUGUCAC